rnacentral:rRNA from 1 species
UACGUAGGUGGCGAGCGUUGUCCGGAAUUACUGGGUGUAAAGGGCGUGUAGGCGGGUCUGCAAGUCAGAUGUGAAAUUCCGGGGCUUAACCCCGGCGCUGCAUUUGAAACUGCGGGUCUUGAGUGUUGGAUAGGGAAGUGGAAUUCCUAGUGUAGCGGUGAAAUGCGUAGAUAUUAGGAGGAACACCAGUGGCGAAGGCGACUUCCUGGACAACAACUGACGCUGAGGCGCGAAAGCGUGGGGAGCAAACAGG